UACGUAGGUGGCAAGCGUUAUCCGGAUUUAUUGGGCGUAAAGCGAGCGCAGGCGGUUGCUUAGGUCUGAUGUGAAAGCCUUCGGCUUAACCGAAGAAGUGCAUCGGAAACUGUGUUUCUUGAGUGCAGAAGAGGAGAGUGGAACUCCAUGUGUAGCGGUGGAAUGCGUAGAUAUAUGGAAGAACACCAGUGGCGAAGGCGGCUCUCUGGUCUGUAACUGACGCUGAGGCUCGAAAGCAUGGGUAGCGAACA
rnacentral:rRNA from 1 species